rnacentral:rRNA from 1 species
AUACGUAGGGAGCGAGCGUUGUCCGGAAUUACUGGGUGUAAAGGGAGCGUAGGCGGGAGUGCAAGUCAGAUGUGAAAUACAUGGGCUCAACCCAUGGGCUGCAUUUGAAACUGCAUUUCUUGAGUGAAGUAGAGGUUAGCGGAAUUCCUGGUGUAGCGGUGAAAUGCGUAGAUAUCAGGAGGAACACCGGUGGCGAAGGCGGCUUACUGGGCUUUUACUGACGCUGAGGCUCGAAAGCGUGGGGAGCAAACAGGAUUAGAUACCCUGGUAGUCCACGCUGUAAACGAUGAUUACUAGGUGUGGGGGGACUGACCCCUUCCGUGCCGCAGUUAACACAAUAAGUAAUCCACCUGGGGAGUACGGCCGCAAGGUUGAAACUCAAAUGAAUUGACGGGG